rnacentral:misc_RNA from 1 species
GCUUCCGAAUUCGGUGUGUUCGUGUCUCAUUCGCUUGCGCGCAAGCACUGAUGUACGCGCGGUACCGUACCCGGUCGCGCUUCUACAAGCGCCCGGAGAAGAUGCUCAAGGCCUACAAUGUGAGCCCCAACCUUCUGCGUCUCCCCAAGGUGAAGCCGGGCCUUCUCAAGGGUAUCUACACUGACGAUAAGAUUGACCUGCGCGACCGUGAGAGGCUCGAACUGGUCGAGUCCAUCCGCCAUCCCAAAGAGCGCGACUUCUAUCAAGAUCACACCUACCACAACCAGUGGAUCGCGCGUGAUCUGGAGUCGCAUCAAAAAAUUCAGAUCGCGGGCCGCUACCCGUACUUCUCCCCAGACUACGAGAUCAAGCCGUGGAUAUGGUACCCUGGUGACACAGUCGAAGUCGUCUCUGGCGAGGGAGCUGGCCAACGCGGCGCCAUCAUCGCCGUCGUCAAGUACAAGAAUGAGAUUCUCGUUCAGAACGUCAACGUGCAGGACGUCGUCAUCCCGGCGAGCGAGACGCGGCCGGAGCAGGUGGUGCAGCGCGAACAUCCCAUCAGCGUCCUUCGCGUACGCCACGUGGACCCAUCCACGAAUCAGCUAUGCCACCUCGAGAUCGUGAAGGUGCGCAACAAGGAAACAGGCGAGCUGGAGGAGCGGCGCAUCUCGCUGGAGAGCGGCGCGCUACUGCCCAUUCCGGCGCCGGAGGAAACCGUAGAGGCGGGUGACCCGCUGAAAGACACGGCCAUCCAGGACGCCGACGAAGACACGUACGAUCGGGAGAAAGAGAUGCCGCUGCUGGUUGUGCGCCGACUGCAGGCAAUGGAGAACUACUUUGUGGACUCGCUUCGGAAGUCGUACGAGUAUCAUAGAGCGCUGCAGGUGCGCAACGCGCAGGACAUGCAGACCUUCCAGAAGGAUGUGCUCGUGCGCGCAACAGAGAAGCUGGCGGCCGCAGCGGCCGUAGCGGGGCACGGUGGAAUGGCUGAGGCCGUCUCUCAGGCAACCUCAGCGGCGAUGGAAUCUUCGCAGGCCGGCGACGCUGAGAAAGACGCCGUCAAGAGUACCAUCACGGUCGAAACGGUUGUGGCCGAAGUGCUCAAGUCCGAGCAGCGGGUUCACAGCGACGCGGCCGCGCCGGGAAUGCCGGGGUGGUGGCAGAACAUGAUUAACUCGUACGUUUCGGUUCUUGAGGACGAAGAGGCAACCAUUGAGGCCGAGGCGGCGGCGCAGGCACAGGCGGCAGAGGCGGAUCGCCGCGCUGAGCAACUCAUGGCCGACGCCACCGCCGAGGUGGACCAGCCGAUGGCAGACGACGGGGCGAUGGAAGGCAACGUUAGCGCAGGCGGCGACGAAGACCUAGACGAGUAAGAUGGCGACUUGGACGAAGACGCCUCCCGCAGCGGCCGGCCGAAGCAGAGUCCGGUGCGAAGAUGCUCCUCUGUUCUCUCCCCCUCUCGGCACAACUUCGCACGCACGCACAUACAGGUGAGCAUGUGCGCGCGCAUGCAUGUGGCGUCGGUUUCCGCGCUGUCUUCGUUUUCGCCAUGCUGCAGAUGAUAUGGUUGUUGAUGGAUAUUGGUCGGUGCGGUUGUCUGAUGACGCCGCAGCGGUGAUGGCAGUGUCUUGUGUUGGCGCUGGUAAGCUGAUUAGGCCCUCCUUCUUUGCGCUCUCGGUCCCUUAGCUUCUCUCACGCGCCCACCCCCACCCCACCUCCUCUUCGCCUAAGGCCUCACACAAAUACGCAGGCACAAAGAGAUGGAGAGAGACACAGAGGAUCAUGCAGCCCCCUCCCCCCUCUCACCUCGCCCCCC